UCUCCGUAGGUGAACCUGCGGAGGGAUCACUACAGGCUUGCAAAAGCUCUGAAACCACUGUUUAUCUACCUGAAUCUGCUUCGGCGAGCGGCCCCAGGGCGGGGCCGUAGCCGCAAGGCGCCCGCCGAAGACCCCUAGACUCUGUCGUCUUGAGAAUCUCUGAGUAUCAUAUUAAACAGAAAACAACUUUCAACAACGGAUCUCUUGGCUCUG
rnacentral:misc_RNA from 1 species